AACGAACGCUGGCGGCAGGCUUAACACAUGCAAGUCGAACGCAUCCUUCGGGGUGAGUGGCAGACGGGUGAGUAACGCGUGGGAACGUGCCCUUCAGUUCGGAAUAACCCAGGGAAACUUGGGCUAAUACCGGAUACGUGCGAGAGCAGAAAGAUUUAUCGCUGAAGGAUCGGCCCGCGUCUGAUUAGCUAGUUGGUGAGGUAAUGGCUCACCAAGGCGACGAUCAGUAGCUGGUCUGAGAGGAUGAUCAGCCACAUUGGGACUGAGACACGGCCCAAACUCCUACGGGAGGCAGCAGUGGGGAAUAUUGGACAAUGGGCGCAAGCCUGAUCCAGCCAUGCCGCGUGAGUGAUGAAGGCCUUAGGGUUGUAAAGCUCUUUCAGUGGGGACGAUAAUGACGGUACCCGCAGAAGAAGCCCCGGCUAACUUCGUGCCAGCAGCCGCCGUAAUAC
rnacentral:rRNA from 1 species